AGUGCAAGUGAUGAUAAAACAGACAGGGACAUCAGAAACUCUAUCACAGAGAAUGAUGAUUUGUCGUUGGGAAUCUCUCUGAUGCACG